CAUAUUCAGUGAUGAAUCUCGAAUCUGCAUUGGGCAAGGUGAUGAUGCUGGAACUUUUGUUUGGUGACUUCCUGAAGAGAACAUG